CCCAGAACAGAGCCAAAUUGUUCAAGCUGCGUGAAGAAGAAAGAAAAAACGAGUUGGGGGGGGGGGGGUGGCGGUGGUGCUGGUUGAGGGAAGAAGAAAAGAUUUCCUUGUUGGUUCGAUUUCUCUGGAGAUAUUUGGAGGAUAACACAGCAAUUUUUUUUUUUUCUUUUAGGAGGGGCACCCGAGAGCAAAAAACGAGAGAGCCGAGUUUUAUCGGCCAGGCGGCCCGUGCUUAAAGGUGACAUUCGAGAGAACAAUCGCUAGGUUGUUUGGUCACCUUUGCUGGUAUGAAUGAAGCUUAAGAAAAGCUGUCUUUGGAUUGCUACUAAUAGUCAUCUUCAUCAUGCCUGCUCUCCCUCUCUCUCUCCCUCUCCCUCGCCCUCUCUCUCUCUCUCUCUCUCUCUCUUUCUCGGUUCCCUUAUGAAAUAAAGGCACACAGGUAAUAAACAAAGCACUAUAAAAGAUCAGAUUGACGUGUUCUGUGGCUCAUUCAAUGUCAGGAGCAAGCCUCCUGCGCUCCGCUGCUAGUGCUUGCGGCACCAAAAGCUGGGCCAGGACCGAGGGAUGGUGGUGGGAUGAGGCUAGACCCCCUUCACCCAUCCUGGAACCUUGCUGAAUUCAUCAGGGCCACGGCCUGGGUCCGCUAACCCACACCUGACGCCCGAGGGACAAAGGACAAGAUGGCAGGGUAGAGACCCUUGGAUUUGCUCCUUUUGGAUUUUUGGAUUCGGACCUGACUUUCUUUGUCAAUCCUCAUGCCCGAUCCAGUGGUCAAAGAAGGAGGAGACUCAACAGCUGUUUCUUUCUCCCUUCAUUUUUCCAACAAAGAAGCUUCAUGAGAACAUUAACACCGAAAGAAAAUUGUGUUCACUGCAGGACUUUUCAAGGAUCGGUGGAAAGAUUUAUAAGCUGCAGACUGCGCUCAGCAAGACCUCACCAAAUGGAGGAAAAUUAAAGAGAGAAAUGGUCCAUGGUGUAUUCUUAACCGCCAUAAAUUGGCGUCAUUUUGGCCACCAUCCAGGAGAGAGACACCAGCCUACAGAAACAGAGAAAGAAGAUCAGAAGCCGAUGGAAGGAAGGGAGGUUGGUCGUGUUGCUGUCCUCAGGAAGGUAGAGGGAAACCGAGCAGGAAUUAACAGGAGUGAAUAGUCAGCAAGGGUCUUUUACAGGAAAUAAAUCUAUCUACUGGGGUUUUCCAACAAAUGCAGAAUUCAGCGUAGCAGAUCAAAAGAAAGAAAGGAAGGAAGGAAGAAAGAAAAAGAAAAAGAAAGAAGAGAAUAAUUAUGUCCAGAAUUGUCCCAAUUGUCCUGCUCAGUGCAAACACACACACACACACACACACACACACACACACACUCACACACACACCCUGCAGCCUAUAAUCCUCCCUCAUGCCCCUAUCCUGUUGAUCUUUCUUCACUUAAAAAUUAUCGGCAAAGAAUUUAUUCAUUUGGGAGAAUUCCAGGCACUACAUUUAUGUUCAGUUCAAAUGAAAUGGGAUCCAGACUUUUCAAACUGUGCUGUUCUGCAGAUAAAACACAAAGGCAGGACCUCAUUAUCUGGAGACAUGGUCCUUUCUUUUUCCUGUUGCCUUUUGUUUCUAAGCAAUUUUAGGCUUGUUUGGAAAGUCUCAUAACAGGGGCAGAACAUUUUUCACCACAUCUAUUUCAGGAGGGUUUUUAGUUAGGAAUAAUGAAUUUACCUCUAAACAGAUGGAAGAGUUUUACUAAAGCUAGAAACGACACUUUUCCUAAUAUCCCCGAUAGGCUGAUCUUAAUCCUCUCAUUGUUAAAAAUGCUUGGUCUAUGAGAGUCUUAUUUAUGUGCCAAGUGUCUUUAUUAAAUCAUGAAAUUAACACAGAAAAAAAUCCUAUUACAAUGGGUUUCUGUAUAUGAUCAAAAGUUGUUCAUGGUCCUGCUGAUAGACUACUUAUUCCAAAAUUUAAAAAGGUGAAAUUCCAAUAGAGCCCAAUGCUUGGCUGAGGUUUUAAAAAUUCAUUGUAAAAUGGCCGGAGGGGUUACGAGGCCCCCAGCCAAGAAAAGGCCCACGUUUUAUCAAGGCAGUAGUCCCUAACAAAAAGAAAACUGUGAAAGAUAGGCCUCCCAUUCACCCAUACAAAUGAAUUCCUGGCAACAUUGUAAUAUGAUUUGACCUGUAGAAACACAACAAGUCUCUGAUAUCCACUUUGAUUUUUAAGAACCUAAGAGGCAAAUUCAAAGACAAAUUGCACUAGUGAAUCCAGGGUUGUGGGAUGCUAAAAGAGUUUAAAAAGUCAAGAGAAGCAGUUUGGUAUGUUUGUAUAUUGGAUUUUGAAAUUGAACUAAAAAUAUAUUUUUUUGAAUGCAGAAGUAGUACAUGUUCGUCACAGGAGAAAAAAUUCCCUCAAUACCCUUCUCAUUGAGAAAGUACACUUGUUUGGGGUUUCCAAACUCGAUUCUUGCCUUUAUAUGAAAAUGAGUGUUAAUGGCUCUGUGUUAGGGCUUAGUCUAGAAGCGCAGGUCCUGAUGGACAUUAGGAGGACCUAAAAAGAGAAAAAGAGAUCCAACUUGGAGGGGUCAAGGUCUGUGGCCUGUUAGGGGGACUUGGAGGGCUCUGUUAACCACCUAAGGGAAGGCAACAGGAGGUCCAGAUGAAGCAGAAGACACGGGAGGACCAUGCAUGAUGGAAGAUCUUAGGUAGAACCAACAGGUAGCAGACAAGUUGGGACAGACAUGGCUGAUGUCAGACAGAGAAACGGAGCCUGCAAAGGGCCUUGACCCCGGAGAUGCGUUUAAAAUCCUUUAGCCUUUCAAAGAUGGUUAACCCAAAUUACUUUUCUUGCUUGUUCCAGAUGCCUUAAUAUCUCAUACCAUUACCAAGGACCUGCCAUGUUAAAAAAUAAACAUUUGGGAAGCGAGGGCGAUUUUUCUCUUUUCUUUUUAAUUGCAAUUGUGAUGUGCUCAUGGCCUGACAUUACAUGAGGUCUGGCUUAGAUUAGCCCCUGGCUGAGAGAUCCCUGCUAAUUUAGUGACUGCAAUUAUGCCUGCCUCUAACCACGGUCUGCUUUGUGUGGGACAUGCCCUUGGAGUUGUUUUUCUCCACCAGAAGCAGUGGUUAUGUUGGCCCUCUAUACGUUUUUGCCCCAUUGGUGAGACAACUGGCUAGGAUUAGGGGUACGAUCUGUGACCCUGAAACAGAGUGAAACUAAUUGGCAGUGAGGGAGCUGAUUCCAUGUAGAGCGCGAGCACUGUAAGUCUCUCAUAAAAGACCCCAAGUGCCACAAGUGUGCACCUGCCUUCCAGCCCUAAUGAUUCUUCCAAUAAAAGAAGCAAAAAGGAACAAAAUACAAAUGUUUUUUGAACACCACUGCCUUUGCUUGGGGUCUCACGCAGCCACAGGAUGCAGGUAGGGGUAUGUGUGUCCCUGAGAAUCCAGGAUGGCCAGCAGCCUUUGCUUGCAACCUGCAGAGGGUGGCAAAGAGGAAACGUAGCAUAAUUUAGAGCAGAAAGGGUGGGUGAGUGGAUGAGGGGAGAGAGGCAGCAGGGGGCGGGGGUGUGUGGAUCUCCUCUCCUGCUCUAUUAAUCAACCGCAGAAGCUGCAACUUUAGGAUUUGCACAAUUGGACUCCAG
rnacentral:lncRNA from 1 species